UUCAACCCUAACUAAGUCUCAAACCAAGGACAUCAUCGUGCCCUCUGGAGAGCUUCGGGACCUGCCUGGAUGUGUUCCUGUGGGAUCUGUUGUAGUGGGACCUUAUUUUGCCAUCUGUGUUCUGGACAUCUGGUAUCAUUAAGCUGAAAGGUGCAAAUGAAUGACACUGGUAAUUUGGUCUGCUUGAAUGUCUGUGCCUAGCAUCGGAGGGUCAGAUGGGUUCCAAGUCGUGGAUAUCAGUCACAGAGGAGAUGGUGCCUUGUGCUAUCCAGGGGCAUGGAGAAGGCAUUA